AAGUUCCUUGCGUUCUCGAGUUACGAGUGGUUUGCUAAUGGACUAAUCGUUUGGUAAAAAAAAUACAGAGCCCUCGGUAAAGAAGUUAUUAAUCCCGGUCGAGUCUUAAAGAGAUAGUUUCCUCAGGGACGAGUUUAUGAAAGCACCUACGCGCCUUGAAAGGAAUUGGUGAAACCUACUCUACAGCCCGUCCCACCAUGCUCUGCGGCGUUAACGGCCUUUGGCGGGAAAGACUCCCAGGGGUGGAGUCAAGGGGGGAGGUUUAUUUGUACAAAUAGCACAGGAGGAUACCAGCUCCAUGCAGACAGCAGCCCAGAGGUCACACCAGGCCUUCAUCCUCAUUGGCAGAUAGAGGCCUCUCCUGUGGAGCCUUCCUGAGGGCCUCCCCUUUGGGAGCCUGAGCUGGAGCUGCCACAUCCACAGCUGCAGCCUGGGGCUUGGUUUGAGCCUUAACUUGCACUCUGGCCUGCAGAAUCUGAGACCUUUGGUGAUGAGGCCAGGAGCUUGGGGUGAGCAUGUUGACAAGUCAAUUAAGCUUGCAGCUACUGCUCUUUGGAAUCUUGGGCUUGACCUCCUUGGGCUCUACCAGAGCCUUGAUAGUUAGUGUGCAUCUUCUUCAGGUCCUUCUUGUGCUUCUUGAAGAAGUGCAUGUUUCUUAGGAUCUUGGGGUCUACCCCUUUAAGAGAUUCAUAUCUUUGUGAUUGAGGUUUCUUGAUGCUGUUUCUGUGCCAUUUUCAGGGCUGGCUGUAGGUGGUGUCAUUCUUGGACUUGGCACUGAAGUCUGCACUGAAGCCUGUGGCUCCCACAGUGCCUGGGACUGGAAGAGAGAAAGCAAGGAUGAUUUUCUUAAUAUUAUUAAUUUAUCUAUAACAAUCCCUCUCCCUAGAGAAGUGAGGCAGUUUGUAGAGUGCCACAAAACAUUAUUAAAACUAGAUGAAGAAAUCAGGGGGAUUGGGAAAAUAAGGAAAGAUUAAGAUGAAGUCAUGGAUAAGGUUAGUACACAAAAUGUUGCUGUAAUAGCCUGUUGAGUUCCUAGAAAUGGACUGCAAAUUUGACUCUGGUCAUCCCAGAAGUCACAGUAAAGAAGGCAAUACAAGUAUAUUAAAAACCCAAAGUGCCUUUGAAAUUAAAA